rnacentral:lncRNA from 1 species
AUGGUCCCGGUCUUGGAGCUCGCCUGCAUCUAUUCAGCCCUCAUUCUGCACAACAAUGAGGUGAUGGUCAUGGAGAAUAAGAUCAAUGCCCUCAUUAAAGCAGCUGGUAUAAAUGUUGAGCUUUUCUGCCAGGCUUGUUUGCAAAAGCUUUGGCCAAUGUCAACAUCAGGAGCCUCAUCUGUAUGGUAGGGGCUGGUGGACCUAUCCUGUCCACCACUGCUGCCCCAGCUGAGGAGAAAAAAGUAGAAGCAAAGAAAGAAGAAUCUGAAGAGUCUGAUGAUGACAUGGGCUUUGGUCUUUUUGACUAA